GACGAACGCUGGCGGCGUGCCUAACACAUGCAAGUCGAACGAAGCAUAGCAAUAUGCUUAGUGGCGGACGGGUGAGUAACGCGUGAACAAUCUGCCCUGUACAAAGGAAUAGCCUCGGGAAACCGGGAUUAAAACCGUAUGACACUUUAGUAUCGCAUGAUAAGAAAGUCAAAUCGAAUAGAGGUAUGGGAUGAGUUCGCGUCUGAUUAGCUGGUUGGCGGGGUAACGGCCCACCAAGGCGACGAUCAGUAGCCGGCCUGAGAGGGUGAACGGGCCACACUGGAACUGAGACACGGUCCAGACUCCUACGGGAGGCAGCAGUGGGGAAUAUUGCACAAUGGAGGGAACUCUGAUGCAGCGACGCCGCGUGAGUGAAGAAGGUCUUCGGAUCGUAAACUCUGUCCUUGGUGAAGAAAGGACGGUAGCCAAGGAGGAAGCCCCGGCUAACUACGUG
rnacentral:rRNA from 1 species